CCCUUAGAUGUUCUGGGCCGCACGCGCGCUACAAUGAUGAAUUCAACGAGUUUAUAACCUUGGUUGAAAAUCCUGGGUAAUCUUUUGAACUUUCGUCGUGAUGGGGCUAGACCCUUGCAAUUAUUGGUCUCCAACGAGGAAUUCCUAGUAAACGCAAGUCAUCAGCUUGCAUUGAUUACGUCCCUGCCCUUUGUACACACCGCCCGUCGCACCUACCGAUUGAAUGGUCCGGUGAAAUCUUCGGAUUGGGACUUUGUUUUCUUCACGGAAAACGCUGUUUUAAAAAGUUGAUUAAACCUUACCAUUUAGAGGAAGGUGAAGUCGUAACA
rnacentral:rRNA from 1 species